GGCAAAAUCUCUCACGGGUAAGUCUCUCGACGUCUCUGUCAAUGUCGUGCACAAACACGUGCGUCUUUGAGUUGGCUGCGCCAGGCUUGAUCCG